GUUCGAUCUUGGCUCAGAUUGAACGCUGGCGGAUAUGCAGAAUAUGCAAGUCGAACGGCAGCACGUAGGGACUGGUCCGCGGCGAGUGGCGGUGAACGGGGUGAGUAAUGCAUCGGAACGUGCCUAGUAUGGAGAUAACUACGCGAAAGCGUAUUAAUACCGGUACAUUAGCUCUUCUCGGGGAAAGCGGGGACCUUCGCAGGGGCCUCGCAGUAAUCAUUAGAGCGGCCGAUAUCGAUUAGCUUAAUAGGUGGGGUAAAUUGGCUCAUCAAGGCGUAUUUGCAGAUCCGUAGCUGGUUUGAGAGGACGACCAGCCACUGACUGAGAUGACGGCCCAGACUCCUACGCAGGCAGCGCAGUGGGGAAUUUUGGAUUACCGGGGAAACACUGAUCCAGCCAUCCUGCGGCGAUGAAGGCCCUUUGGGUUGCAAAGCACUCUCUUGGCAGGGAAAGAACGGCAUCGAUAAUACACCCCAAACUGACGGUACCUGCAGAUUACAAAUUCUGGUUAACAAUGUGCCAGUAGUCGUGGCAGUAAUACGGUGGGUGCAAGCGGUUAAUCGGAAUUGAUGGCGUAAAGCGUGGCAGGCGGUUCGGAAAGAAAGAUGUGGGGAAAUCCCAGAGCUAACUGGAACUGCAUUUCUUAACCACCGAGCUAGAGCGGUGGUCAGAGGGAGGUGGAAUCGCAGCAGUGAAAUGCAGAUGCGGAGAACACCGAUGGCGAAGGCAGCCUCCUGGGAUAACAUCGACGCUCGCACGAAAGCGUGGGGAGCAAACAGAGCCAGAUACCCUGGUAGUCCACGCCCUAAAACGAUGUCAACUAUUGCUGGGGCCUUCGCCUGGUAGCGCAGCUAACGCGUGAAGUUGACCGCCUGGGGAGUACGGUCGCAAGAUUAAAAACUCAAAGGAAUUGACGGGGACCCGCACAAGCGGUGGAUGAUGUGGAUUAAUUCGAUGCAACGCGAAAACCUUACCUACCCUUGACAUGUCUGGAACCGAAGAGAUCGGGGAGCGUUCGUGCAUGAGAACCGAACACAGGUGCUGCAUGGCUGUCGUCAGCUCGUGUCGAGAUGUUGGGUUAAGUCCCGCAACGAGCGCAACCCUUGUCAUUAGUUGCUACGAAAGGGCACUCUAUCGAGACUGCCGGUGACAAACCGGAGGAAGGUGGGGAUGACGCCAAGCCUCAUGGCCCUUAUGGGUAGGGCUUCACACGUCAUACAAUGGUCAACGAGGGACGCCAACCCGCGAGGGGGAGCCAAUCCCAGAAACCCGGAUCGUAGUCCGGAUCGCAGUCUGCAACUCGGACUGUGAAGUCGGAAUCGCUAGUAAUCGCGGAUCAGCAUGUCGCGGUGAAUACGUUCCCGGUCUUGUACACACCGCCCGUCACACCAUGGGAGGGCUCUACCAGAAGUAGUUAGCCUAACCGGUGAGGGCGAUUACCACGGUGAGAUUCUCAGAUCAGUGAAGUCGGCCAAGGUAA
rnacentral:rRNA from 1 species